AGCGAACGCUGGCGGCAGGCCUAACACAUGCAAGUCGAACGAACUCUUCGGAGUUAGUGGCGGACGGGUGAGUAACACGUGGGAACGUGCCCUUUGGUACGGAAUAACUCAGGGAAACUUGAGCUAAUACCGUAUGAGCCCUUCGGGGGAAAGAUUUAUCGCCAUUGGAGCGGCCCGCGUCUGAUUAGCUAGUUGGUGAGGUAAAGGCUCACCAAGGCGACGAUCAGUAGCUGGUCUGAGAGGAUGAUCAGCCACAUUGGGACUGAGACACGGCCCAAACUCCUACGGGAGGCAGCAGUGGGGAACCUUGCGCAAUGGGCGAAAGCCUGACGCAGCCAUGCCGCGUGAAUGAUGAAGGUCUUAGGAUUGUAAAAUUCUUUCACCGGGGACGAUAAUGACGGAACCCGGAGAAGAAGCCCCGGCUAACUUCGUGCCAGCCGCCGCCGUAA
rnacentral:rRNA from 1 species